GCCCCUGUAGCUCAGCUGGAUAGAGCAGUUCCCUCCUAAGGAAAAGGUCACCUGUUCAAAUCGGGUCAGGGGUACCA
rnacentral:tRNA from 1 species